CUGAGAGCAGGGGGAAACUGUAACCCAACAGAAGCUAGAGGCUAACUAUCACUGACCUAGAAACUAAGCUAAUUGGACUUAAGCUAACUCUUAGCUAACAAGGUCCAGAGGGUAUUUCUGACUUAAAAGGGACAUAGAAGCUAACAGGAGCUAGAAGCUAACUCUUAGCUAACUGUAGAGGUGUGUAGAGUUGUGUAGAGGUGUGUAGAGGUGUGUACAGGUGUGUAGAGUUGUGUAGAGGUGUGUAGAGUUGUGUAGAGGUGUGUAGAGUUGUGUAGAGGUGUGUAGAGGUGUGUAGAGUUGUGUAGAGGUGUGUAGAGGUGUG